UACGGAGGGUGCAAGCGUUAUCCGGAUUCACUGGGUUAAAGGGUGCGUAGGCGGGUUGGUAAGUCCGUGGUGAAAUCCCAGACCUUAACUUGGGGAACUGCCGUGGAUACUAUCAAUCUUGAAUAUCGUGGAGGUAAGCGGAAUAUGUCAUGUAGCGGUGAAAUGCUUAGAUAUGACAUAGAACACCAAUUGCGUAGGCAGCUUACUACACGAUCAUUGACGCUGAGGCACGAAAGCGUGGGGAGCAAACAGG
rnacentral:rRNA from 1 species